GGCGCGCUUCCUCCGCCGUCCGAGGCGUGCUUCCUCCGCGACGCCAGGAGGCUCCGGACUCGCCUGCCCGCGGCCUCCCUUUGGUUGGUACCUCCUCACGGAGGCGAUGAAAUCCGUCUGGGGUCAGCGACAGGGCAGCGCUUUCGGGCCUCCCGCAAGUCCACCUGCUCUGCCGGCGUCUGUCGAGUGUUCUGCGCUGAAGGAGCUUUUCCUGCCAGAAAACCAAGUUCCUGUCCUCUUUCUUCCGCCUCCUCUUCAGCUUUCCGGGUUCAGCAGGUCCUCGCCCAGCCGGGUGCCCAAGACGGAGGCGGCCGCUGGGUCCGGUGGGGAGGUCAGUGUGUGGUGGCCCGGGGUGCCUUCUAGAUGUUUCCAGGGGCAGGAGGCUUCUAGGGUUCAGGGGCCCGCUUUGAAGGCCUUGGACAGCCUGCCUUGCUGAGGUGGGUGAAGCCAAAGGGAGAUGCGCAGGGCAGAGGGGCAAAUGGCUGCGUUCAGGCCCGGAGGCUGGGCGGUCCGCAGAGCAGGGGCUUCCUGGGAGGCGAGGAGCAGGCGGCCAGGGCCAUGGGCCCCUGGUGGGCGCGGGGGGUGGGCUGUCCCUCACUGGGGUCGGUGCCCACAGGGGCCCAGCGUCCAGCCUGAGCGUGUCCAGUGUGUGGGGUCUGGAUGCGUUUUCAGCAGAGGAGGGAGGGGCUGGGCGGCGGGUUCUCAGAGCCUGGCAGCAGCAUAAGAUCGUGUCGUCCUGCUCUGUGGGUCCAGAAGGGAGCCUGACUCUUCACUGGUGCAGGCUGGUGUCCAAGCCCCCAUGGCACUUGGAAGUUCUAGUCCUGCUUGAACUCAUUUUCAGGCUUGUGGUUGUCAGCAUUUCCCAAAGCCUCCUGAGCUGCGUUUAUGGUUGGGGCAGCGACCCUGUCCUGGAGCUCUCAGGGCCUGUCCUCACUGUCCUCUGCUCUGUGCACACAGGGGGGGGCAUCUGUGGAAUGUCGUCCUCCUGGAGAGUCACCGGGUCAGGCUGUGCCGGGGUUUCCACCCCCGGUCACCACAUGGCCCUGGUCUCUGUGCACUUUCUGGCGCGCCCAGUCCACCUUGGCUUAGCUGACUCUUCAUCUGGAUUCCGGGGAACUGCCAGGCGGCCAGAGGCUGAGGGCACAAGCAUGGGAAUCAUCAACUGGUCAGCCUCCAGGAGCCUUUGGGGACUAGAAACAACCAAGGGUGUCCUGCUUUUAAAGAGGCCUGUUGAGUCCUCAAGGACCGGUUCAUAGCACAGCCCACAAAGGAAUAUCCUUUCAGCCUUUUGGAAGGGAGCUAUGGGGUCUGCAGUCCCCAACCUAGAGUUAUGCAAAAAAUGUCUUUAGUACUAGUAUGUUGCUUUUAAAAUACAAGGUUUGUGGGGGUUUUUUAUUUUUUAUUUUUGAAGUAUAGUUGAUGUACAGAAUGGUAAAAAGAUUUGCAACAUACGGAAUCACAAUUUGAAAAUUAUAUUCCGUUGAUACUUAUAAAAUAUUGGACAUAUUCCCCAUGUCGUACAAUAAAUGUUUGUCCCUUAUUUUAUACCUAAUAGUUUCUAGGUCUUAAUCUGUCUCCCUGUAUUGCCCCCGCCCCCUUCCCUCUCCUCACUGGGAACCACUAGUUGAUUCUGUGUAUCUGGGAGUCUCAU